AUGGCAACAUCAUAUGCUACGAUGUACUCUACAUCACUAACUAAGUAGGCUAAAGUAUCCUUCUUGGAACCUUUCCAGCAGAUUGCUCCUACAAUUAGGGUAUAAUUCGAUACUUUCUUGUUGUCAUCUUGAUCCGACUGAAAUCGAAACAUCCACAUAUUUAAAGUCAGUAUUUCUAUAUUUGAGUUACUAGACCUUAAUAUUUCUCAAAUACUUAAGAUUUCUAUACAAUCUUCCAGUGGUUCUUACUU
rnacentral:lncRNA from 1 species